GACGAACGCUGGCGGCGUGCCUAAUACAUGCAAGUCGAGCGAACCUUUGGGAGCUUGCUCCCAAAGGUUAGCGGCGGACGGGUGAGUAACACGUGGGCAACCUGCCUAUAAGACUGGGAUAACUUCGGGAAACCGGAGCUAAUACCGGAUAAUUCUUUUCUACACAUGUAGAAAAGCUAAAAGACGGUUUACGCUGUCACUUAUAGAUGGGCCCGCGGCGCAUUAGCUAGUUGGUGAGGUAACGGCUCACCAAGGCCACGAUGCGUAGCCGACCUGAGAGGGUGAUCGGCCACACUGGGACUGAGACACGGCCCAGACUCCUACGGGAGGCAGCAGUAGGGAAUCUUCCGCAAUGGACGAAAGUCUGACGGAGCAACGCCGCGUGAGUGAUGAAGGUUUUCGGAUCGUAAAACUCUGUUGUUAGGGAAGAACAAGUACGAGAGUAACUGCUCGUACCUUGACGGUACCUAACCAGAAAGCCACGGCUAACUACGUGCCAGCAGCCGCAGUAAAAC
rnacentral:rRNA from 1 species